rnacentral:rRNA from 1 species
CCUACGGGAGGCAGCAGUGGGGAAUUUUGGACAAUGGGCGCAAGCCUGAUCCAGCAAUGCCGCGUGAGUGAAGAAGGCCUUCGGGUUGUAAAGCUCUUUUGUCAGGGAAGAAACGGCUGAGGUUAAUACCUUCGGCUAAUGACGGUACCUGAAGAAUAAGCACCGGCUAACUACGUGCCAGCAGCCGCGGUAAUACGUAGGGUGCAAGCGUUAAUCGGAAUUACUGGGCGUAAAGCGUGCGCAGGCGGUUUUGUAAGUCUGACGUGAAAUCCCCGGGCUCAACCUGGGAAUUGCGUUGGAGACUGCAAGGCUGGAGUCUGGCAGAGGGGGGUAGAAUUCCACGUGUAGCAGUGAAAUGCGUAGAGAUGUGGAGGAACACCGAUGGCGAAGGCAGCCCCCUGGGUCAAGACUGACGCUCAUGCACGAAAGCGUGGGGAGCAAACAGGAUUAGAUACCCUGGUAGUCCACGCCCUAAACGAUGUCUACUAGUUGUCGGGUCUUAAUUGACUUGGUAACGCAGCUAACGCGUGAAGUAGACCGCCUGGGGAGUACGGUCGCAAGAUUAAAACCGCGAAAGGUAGUUAGGACGGUCGUAGGAGACGUACGACCGACGGACGACGACGAGGGAGGAGG